rnacentral:rRNA from 1 species
UACAGAGGUCUCAAGCGUUGUUCGGAUUCAUUGGGCGUAAAGGGUGCGUAGGCGGCGCGGUAAGUCGGGUGUGAAAUCUCGGAGCUUAACUCCGAAACUGCAUUCGAUACUGCCGUGCUUGAGGACUGGAGAGGAGACUGGAAUUUACGGUGUAGCGGUGAAAUGCGUAGAUAUCGUAAGGAAGACCAGUGGCGAAGGCGAGUUUCUGGACAGUAACUGACGCUGAGGCACGAAGGCCAGGGGAGCAAACGGG